CCCCGGUCUUGAAAACCGGUAUAGUUCACAACACGAACUAUCGAGGGUUCGAAUCCCUCUCUCUCCUUUUGUUUUUGCUCGACGAAAGUAUUUUUUUUUUAUUGGUUUUGGUUGGUUCGGUUUUUUCGGAAUUUCGAUAUAAUUAGAUUAGAUAGAAAUGGAUUAAAACGAGAAGUAAAAUACUUUUUAUUUUUUAUUUUAAUCUGACCCGCUCGACUCAACCCUAUAUGUAUGGUAAAAUCAACGUGAUUCCUACUUCAAGCAUUAGAUCUCAUA